ensembl:lncRNA
AAACACAACAAAACGAAAUUCCCCAAAAAAACAUUGUUUAUUUAGAAUUAAUUAAAUAUUUCAUUUGCAUUUUUAAAGGGGUCAUGAACUGCCUUUUUUGGUACUGUUCUCUAAGGUACACUUAAAAUGUUAUCAAGAUUUUUACAUCAAAAAACAUAAUUUAGAAUGGGCUUUUUAAUGUCCUGUUUUUACCCCUCAUCAAUUAGUUUUUAAACUAACAAGAAAGUGCUUACAUGAUAUUUUUAUAGUGCAAUGACCUCUAAUAUGUCAAAAGAUCAAGGGAAUUUUGUUUUCUAGUUCAUGACCCCUUUAAAAACAGGGGUGAAUUCAAAUAAACCGGGCGUCACUUGACAUUGAUUUACUAGAUUUACCAUAAUAGUCCUGCAUAUCAGUAAAUUCAAUGACUCCCCCGCACACGCACACAGGCACAUUUUCCCAAAAUCUAACAUACUUGGCAAAAACAGUGCAUGGGGAAUUCCUGCUUUGGUUUUCUCAAUACAAACAUUUACUGUAGCCUAUCUAUUAAACCUUAAAAAAAAAAAAAAGUAGAAGUAGAAGUACAGUAAGACACGUAGGCCAAUAUGAUUUAACUUCUGGUGCUGUUUAGUCAUGCAUGACAUCACAGUGUUUACAGACGAUGACGUCACUUGUUUAAAAUUGCUAGUCCUGUUGCUAAAGACAGUCUGGCUGAGAACGAAAGGAAAUCAAAACACCUCCCUUCUACGUACGUUCAUCCGAUCCGCCUUCACCAACUAGACUAUAUAAGACUCCUCAGCAUGAAUCACCGGCACUUUACUACCAACCACUUUAAGAGUUCGCAACAAGAGAGAAGCAAACAAACGACAGGACAACAUGUUUCCAGAGACGGAGUGCGGAAUCUGCUACAGAACUUACAACCUCGGUCAGCGGUGUCCUCGACAGCUGUGCUGCAAACACACGUUUUGCGAGAGCUGCCUGGUGAUGCUCUGGCGCUCCGCGGAGAGCCCUGAACCCCGGAUAAUGUGUCCGCUGUGCCGUCACUCCACGCCGCUGUCGGAGGCGAGGAUCCAAGAGACCCUGCCGGUAGACGAGGACGUUUUUGAGCGGCUUGUCACCGAGGGCUGCGCGGAGGAAUGUGCGGAUGACGACGAAGACACCGAGGAGCCCAAACGGGACACGGUCACCCCACCAAAAGAAGAAGUAUCACCCCCGCCAAGAUCGCGAAAAAGACGCCUGAUGAAACGUUUGAGUCGCCUGUGCCAGAAAUUCACCGGGGAUGCACGGAGAAACUGUAUGACUGAUGAAGACUUGAGGGACCUGGCAAUGAUGUCUUGCUACAUGAUGUGAAAGACAAGAUUUCCAGAAGUGUCACUCAGAUCAUCUGAACGCCAAAAGAUGUAACCACGCGUGAUUUAAGGGAGCAGAUGUAAUCAUUUAAGAAUCAUCUACUGAAAAACAGACGAACGGAACAUUUGGGUGGGUGUGUCCCCUCCAGUGUUUGAGGGUGUCCCGGCCCUGCCUCGAGGUUAUGGAUGGCAGUCCACAAUGGAAACCUUUGGAUAACAUUGAUGUGUUUUUGUGCUGAAGCUGUGGAAAGUCAGCGCCUGGGAAGCACAAGAGGACUGUUUGCUGUUGGGCGUGACUCGUUGCCAUAACAAAAACGUAGGGUUGUUCCAGAGAAACCUAUAAACAACACAACAAAAACAUGUCUUUUGAUUUCCCCUUCUUUUCUUUUUUUUAUGAACCACACUGCCUUACAGAUUAUUUGUUUUAGGCCAGUAUAUUUUUGGUGCUGUUUCUUUUCUGUUACAAAAUCAUGGAGAAUACUCAACCCAUAUCUCCUUUUUAAAUUAUUGUAACUUAAUGAUUUUGAAGAAUUUCUAUGAAAUAUUACUUGUAUUUAUUGUCUAUUAAGUUUAAUUAUAAGUUUUUCAGUGUUACGUUUGUAUCAAAUGAAAGAGACCUAAUUGUAUUUGUCUUUUCAUGAUCACAAAGUAAUUUUAUAUGUAUUUAUAAGUAUUUUACUUUUUUUAAGAAGAAAAUAUAGAAUGACUGUAUGCUAUGUUUGUACCAAAUAAAUGUUUUUAUAAUUUUUAUGACAAGUUUAGCACACUCUCUUUUUUUUUUUUUUUUUUUACUCCGAGGCAGAGUCACAAAUUUUCAUCAUACUUUAAGAACACAUUAAGUAUUUAAGAUUGUGUAUGUGCAAAGUUUUAUGUUCUUAGCUUUGAACACAUUCAGGUGAACCUCGUCAGCGAUCACCAUCAUGCUGAUCAACAAUAUUAGCGGUUCAGUGAGCCCAAAUUAAUAGGGUAAUUUGGACCAGGUGUAACAAAAAGCAUUGUGUGGAACGUAAGCACAAGUGCAUUAGUCCUUAAAACAUGUCUCUUCAAUACUAUCUGAGACUGGCUCUGGUUGGUUUGGCUCUUUCUGUUGUGGGAUGUUUGCCUGAAGUAUCAAUAGGAGAUGUCACGGAUGAUUCAAAGAUCAAAAUACAAGCUCUGGAAAGUUUCAAAAGUGUUAAUCCACCCAUUCAAAAUCCAAUAAGAGGCAGUCUUCAAAGCAACAGAGAACAGUUUAACAGCAAAUAUCAGCUGCCGUGGAUCAGCUCUGCCUCAUACAACCAGAGAAAUGAUGUCAACUCAGUCUAUUCAGUCCCACAUAAAGUCCAGUCCAAUAUCAGAAAUAAACCUGUUGAAUUAUCAAGCGCCAAAUUUAAUGAUGAAAUUGAUGCCAAAAGAAGCUAUGCUUCCCAAACAGUCCAGCAGGAACAAAAUACUUUAGACGUUAAAGGGAGCCAAAUUAGCUCUAGUAAUAUUAAUUUGGCCCCAAGGCUGGUGAGGAAAAAAGGUGGAAUGCAUGCAGCAUAUGUGCAUAGAUCAGGCUCAUUUGGACAUCAACAUAUUUCUAAAUCAGAAAUGCACUCAGGCAGUUCACAACCAUUAGGACUCAAUGAACCUUAUUUGAAGGAAAAUAUUCCAACUAAUUAUAUGCCUAGAAGCUCAACAGUGAACCACAAUAUGAGGCACAAAAGUAAUGGAAACAUGCUGAUGGAAAAUUUUCUUCAAAACAAUGGCCAGAAUCAAAACAUGCUGAGGAGAGUUGUACCAUCAAAUACAUCUCCCUCAAUUGUAACAGCAAAUCAGCAAAAGAGCCAACCAUUGCCACAAGCUUUUUCUGCUGGGACUGGAAUCAUUUCUCAAAUUUCCUACGAGAAUAUGAGGGACGUAGCUCUUUCAAAGGUGUUCAAAACGCCAAUCCCAACACCAAUAUCACCUGCAUUUAAGAGAUCAAAUUCAAAUGGAGGUCCUAGCAUCCUUCCAUUAAUAAAAUCUCAGAUGUUUUCUUCUCAGCAGGAUCACAUCAAGCUGUCUAAUUCUGAAAGGGUUGCCAAUCCAAAAGCAAAUCUGCAAAGCAGUUUUGAAUUUGGAAAUACAAAUAGCUACAUGCUCGAGAACAUUCAGUCGACACAAAAUGGUUACCAAAAUGGGGGACAAAGUAGUCAGAAUGUUGUGCCCAUUCAAACCUUUCACAAUCAAAAGAAGUAUGAUAAUCUGGCUACAGGUAUAUCUGCCAUCAGGCCUUCAGUCACCAAUAAUGCCCACUCUUACUUCCUAUCAGAUGAAAACAGUGGCAUCCAGAUGUCUGCACUACUCAAACGGUCAAAAGAAAUCACUGACUUGACCCCACGAAUGCAGUUUGGAAAGAACAAAAUGUUAUUUUCAGAACGUGAUACAAAUAUUUAUCUACCAGACCUAACAAAUCAUUCAUUGAGGAAGCCAAGUCAGCAUAAUGCGCAAAAUAGGUCACAUCUGAAUUCCUUCGGCCAAAGUACUGUACAAUCGUUAUCCAUUAAACAUUAUCCUGCGCCAAGUCUUGUGCCAGGUAACACAUUGAAGAGUCAUGUCCACGGCUUUAGUCCAUCUGUGGCUGGGACUCAGGGCGCAUCUAAAAAUUCAGGUACGUCUAGUAGCCGACCAUAUUAUCUAACUUUUAAAAAGCCAUAUGCUUUUAAAGGUUUCACAUUUGUCCCUACAUUGCAGACAUCGCUACAAAAAUCAGAAAUGCACUCUGGCCAAAAGCCCCUCUUAAAGUCUUUAUCUAAUGUGCAAUAUGCCCCUGCUCGUUCACAUACCGCCCAAAGUGCACUCGCUCAAAAACCCUUGAUGCAUAAGAGCUACAAAAAAAUGCUUUUCCAGUUCAAGGACAUUGAAUCAAGCCAAGAAAAACAACUUUAUUGGGAUCAGACAGAUUCUUUUGAUAAUGGACCUAAACGUGAAACCAUCUCUUCUACUGAAGGUGCAAGUAACCUGAUGUCUGAUGCUCUAAAGCACCAUGCUGUUAGAGGUCAAGCUGUAGCAAUGAAAACAUCUCUCAGUGGCACAAAUACUACAAAUAAUGUAGCUGUUGACGAAGUUCAGUCAAAAACAUCUCAGAGGUGGACUUCAAGUAGGCUUACUUCAGCACAGCCCUCUAAAUCUAACAAAGAUGAAUUCCCAACAGGCAGUUUUGUUAGAUCCAACUUAAACAAAGCAUCCAUAAAAUCUAGCAACAGUCAUAACAGUCCCACAUCAGAGCUUAUUCUUCCAAUUCAUAAGUCUUCUCUUAUGAACAAAGUGACUGGGUAUCCUCGAAUACACAAUGCUGCUAUCCAGCCACUUCGCAGGUAUGUUUUGAAGGAACAUGAAGGUGUGUUAAAUCCAACAAAGGAAAUUAAAGAUAGAAAUUCUACUGGAAUAACACAGUCAAAUACUACUGAAAAUUAUAGCCCCAUUAGACUGAGACCGACCAGCAGCUUUGCGAUUGGAAGGCAAGUUAAAGACAAUUCAGACCACCAGAACAUCUAUGCUAUCUCAACCUCUCAAUCUGCAAUUUAUAGAUCUGCUGGCAUUAAUAGUCAAAAAACGGAUGGCUCUACAAAGCUCACUUUCCAGUCACCUAUGCACAGAUCUGCUAUGAAACCUUCUGGCAAAGUUAACAUCCUAAAAGCUAAUGCAGCUUCAGACUGGAGGAACGAAACGUCUCCAAUCUCAGAAGCAGAUAUCAACCUUAGUGCCGUCAGUGUGUCCCAGGCUUUAAGACCCACAACCAAACCCAACCUUAACAUGUCUAUGACAAAAUCAGGCCUAAACAAUUAUAAACCAGUUCAGAUUUCCUAUAUAGCAGGUAGCACCUCCUUCACCGAUGUCAAACCACAUUCUGCUAACACCAAGGCGAAGGAAGAAGUGGAUCUCGAAAGUGAUCAAAACAGCAGUAAUUCAACAUCAGUGAUGGAGGAAAGUUUUAAAGAGCUGGUUUUAGACAGUUCCUCUAUGAUCUCAGCCUUACAAAAUGAAAUGGAUGAAAGUGCAAUGGAUUUACGCGUCCCUGAGCUUAUGCCAACAGCUGCUUAUGAGUCACAGCUGGAGCCUGGGAAUCAUACCACACCUACAGCAGAGGAUAUUGAUCCAUUUUAUGAGGGGACAUUGAUACCCAAUACCACUUUGCAGGACGAAAUGACCUCAAGUUGAGAUCUGCCCGCAUGCAAUCCAAUGGCAGCCGUCCUUAACUGCAAUGUGAGGUGAUUUUCUCUUCUGUAGGUAGAUGGCGCCAGAUCUAUCCUCACAUUAAUUUGCAUUAAAUUUCUGAGUUCUGAGUUUCAUAGUUUGUUCUUUACUUCCCGCUGAUAGUCAUGAUUUUGGAAGAAAAAAUGUGGAUGAUAUUAACCAUUUUUUCCCCAAGCAAUAUAUUCAGAUGUCUUAUAUCAAACCGAAUUUGAAAACAGUAAACCUUGCAUCCAAAUAUAACUUUCUGUUAUUGAAUAUAAAUCAUGAAAUUAGUUUACUGAUGUGAGGAUGGGUUCAGACAUGUGAGCACACUUUGUUUCCAUGCCAAUAAUUUUUUCUCUCUCGAUAUUAUAGUCUCCAAAGUCCAUGGAUUUGAAUUGAGUUUUCUUGAAGUAUCACUGACAAACUGUGAUUUUAAUUAUUCAGGCCAAGCUAUUUAAAACUUAAUCACUUAAUUAUUAUUAUGAGCAGACAUUUUAACGAGGCAAGAGGUCUUUCUUUAGGUCAUUCCUGUUGUGCAGUAACUUUUCAACUCUGGAACUUUUAAGAUAAUUAAUAAUGUGUUGUAAAUUAAGCAAGUAUUUCUAUAAAAGUGAAUACCAGACUUUAAGAAAUAAGCUCUGGUUAAAAUCAGGGACUUAAGCAUUAUUUAUUAUAAUUUGACUAUUUACACAGUGCCAAGAAAAAGAACAGGACUGAAAUAAGGACCACCUUAACAAUACCCAAGAGUAAGUUUAACUGACAAUGUCAACUUGGUUAACUGUGAUAUAAAACAGAAUCAAUCAGAAUUUAUUGCUAAAAUGUACUUACAUGUGUGCUGUUGUUUCCCCACCAAAACAAUUUCACUUCCUUUGGUUUGAUGUCAUUGAGAUGUCACUUGAGACUGGUCUUUUUUGUUUAAAGAGAAAUUAAGUACAUGGGUAAAUAGGCUAUAUUCCCGUGUGAACAUGUUUUGUUGAAACAUUAAAGAAUAAACAAACUGCAACAUCUGCUCCAAGUGGAAAUAUUUAAAAUUCACUACCCCAUUCACUUAAUUGUGAUAUUGUGAUAAAAGACAAUUUAAUAAUGAUAAUAAUCUUUAUUUUCUAUAGCGCCUUUAAAUGUUACUUCUCAAAGCGCUUUACAUAACAAAUAAAUCAUCAACAUACACCAUAUAAAAAUGUAUGAAAAUAAGCAAACAAAAACAAGGAAACAUGCAUUCAAAACAAUUAAAUAGAAAUAAUAUAAAAUUAAUAUAAAAAUUCAAGUAAAAGCUAUCCCAAAUAAAUAAAUUUUAAGCUGAGAUUUAAAAAUGUUAAGAGAAUGUGCCUGCCUUUUUUCAACAGGAAGGGUAGUUUUUGAGCUAGAGAAGAAAA